UCUUUUUGUGAUCACCGAGCCUGCUUCGCCUAAGUCAAAAUGAUAUGGACGCAGAGCCUGUAACCUUGCAAAAGGUUCAAUGGAUUGUUGAGAAAUCAGCCGUCCACUCGUGUUUAGAAAGGUGUCAAAUGCAAACAAUC
rnacentral:ncRNA from 1 species